rnacentral:rRNA from 1 species
GUGCCUAAUACAUGCAAGUCGAGCGAACGGACGAGAAGCUUGCUUCUCUGAUGUUAGCGGCGGACGGGUGAGUAACACGUGGAUAACCUACCUAUAAGACUGGGAUAACUUCGGGAAACCGGAGCUAAUACCGGAUAAUAUUUUGAACCGCAUGGUUCAAAAGUGAAAGACGGUCUUGCUGUCACUUAUAGAUGGAUCCGCGCUGCAUUAGCUAGUUGGUAAGGUAACGGCUUACCAAGGCAACGAUGCAUAGCCGACCUGAGAGGGUGAUCGGCCACACUGGAACUGAGACACGGUCCAGACUCCUACGGGAGGCAGCAGUAGGGAAUCUUCCGCAAUGGGCGAAAGCCUGACGGAGCAACGCCGCGUGAGUGAUGAAGGUCUUCGGAUCGUAAAACUCUGUUAUUAGGGAAGAACAUAUGUGUAAGUAACUGUGCACAUCUUGACGGUACCUAAUCAGAAAGCCACGGCUAACUACGUGCCAGCAGCCGCGGUAAUACGUAGGUGGCAAGCGUUAUCCGGAAUUAUUGGGCGUAAAGCGCGCGUAGGCGGUUUUUUAAGUCUGAUGUGAAAGCCCACGGCUCAACCGUGGAGGGUCAUUGGAAACUGGAAAACUCGAGUGCAGAAGAGGAAAGUGGAAUUCCAUGUGUAGCGGUGAAAUGCGCAGAGAUAUGGAGGAACACCAGUGGCGAAGGCGACUUUCUGGUCUGUAACUGACGCUGAUGUGCG